rnacentral:rRNA from 1 species
CUUAACAUGCAGUCGAACGGCAGCACGGGAGCAAUCCUGGUGGCGAGUGGCGAACGGGUGAGUAAUAUAUCGGAACGUGCCCAGUGAUGGGGGAUAGCCCGGCGAAAGCCGGAUUAAUACCGCAUACGACCUACGGGUGAAAGCAGGGGAUCGCAAGACCUUCCGUCAUCAGAUGAGUCUGCGUACCAUUAGCUAGUUGGUAGGGUAAAGGCCUACCAAGGCGACGAUGGUUAGCUGGUCUGAGAGGAUGAUCAGCCACACUGGAACUGAGACACGGUCCAGACUCCCACGGGAGGCAGCAGUGGGGAAUUUUGCGCAAUGGGGGAAACCCUGACGCAGCAACGCCGCAUGAGUGAUGAAGGCCCUUGGGUCGUAAAGCUCUGACAGAGGGAAAGAAAUGCAGGGGAGCUAAUAUCUCCCUUGCUUGACGGUACCCUCAAAGGAAGCACCGGCUAACUCCGUGCCAGCAGCCGCGGUAAUACGGGGGGUGCAAGCGUUGUUCGGAUUUAUUGGGCGUAAAGCGCGUGUAGGCGGUUUUAUAAGUCUGAUGUGAAAGCCCUGGGCUCAACCCGGGAAGUGCAUUGGAUACUGUAAGACUUGAAUACGGGAGAGGGCAGUGGAAUUCCUAGUGUAGGAGUGAAAUCCGUAGAUAUUAGGAGGAACACCGGUGGCGAAGGCGGCUGCCUGGACCGAUAUUGACGCUGAGACGCGAAAGCGUGGGUAGCAAACAGGAUUAGAUACCCUGGUAGUCCACGCCGUAAACGAUGAGAACUAGGUGUUGCGGGUAUUGACCCCUGCAGUG